UUCUCUCUCUUCAUUUCGUUUUCUCUCUCCUCUUAAUAGUUCUCUCUUCUCUCGAUUUCUCUGAUUUUUCGCCCCUCAACUUUGCAAAUCAGCAUCCAUUUUUUCAUCUUCGCUCAUUGUUAGAGCAAAUUUCUAGCAGAGAUAGUAGAAGUGAGCUGUCUAUACGCUAUUCCCUCCCUUGCUGUAAUAUUUUUUUGACAUGGUCUUGCUCUGUAAUAUUAAGAGAUAGUAGAUGUUAAUAUUGGAGUGGAACCGAUAACAUUCUGUUUUAUGGCAUUGACAACAUUUGAGGCGUCAGACUCCAGCAUUAUGUUUGUAAAACCAAAAUGUCUGGCAAUGUGGAUCCCAUAGCGCACAUCAAGUGCUUCUGCCAUCUCUGAGUUGGCAGCCCUUGUUCUCUUUGCUGCACACAUAAGAAGGUUGCCAUUAAAGUCUCGCAACACCAAACCAAGUCCCACUAGGUUGCCAUAUGCAAACUAAGCAUCAGCGUUCACUUUUGUGACCCCUACAGGCGGGCAUGACCACUUGCUCAAGACUGGGAUUGCCGAGGUUACAGGUAUACAAUUGCCGAGGUUACAGUUAAAUGUUUUAUUAGAUUUCUUCCUUUUUUUUGUUUACUUUUGAUAUAGUUUUAUUUACUUUUAAUUUGUAAACCUCUACUUUGAACUCAAUAUAUUUAUGUCAAACAAAAAAAAAAUUGACUCAUCUUGUAUGGAUAUGAAAGUCAAUGAUUCGGAGUUUUUGUGCUAUAACAAAGUUUUGUUACUCAUUAUCAUUUCAAGAUAAUUCGUUAUUCAUAUACUCUAGAGCUAAUUUGAUUUACUUCAAUGAUAUUUUGAUUUACUUUUAGCAUUAUUUAUUCACUUUUGAGUAAUUAUGAUUUACUUUUGGCAUAUAUUAAUAUAUUUUUUUAGUUUUUCUACUUUUUAUAGAUUUUGAUUUG